rnacentral:rRNA from 1 species
AUUGAACGCUGGCGGAAUGCUUUACACAUGCAAGUCGAAUGGUAGAGGGGGCAACCCCUCGAGAGUGGCGAACGGGUGAGUAAUAUAUCGGAACGUGCCCAGUCGUGGGGGAUAACGUAGCGAAAGUUACGCUAAUACCGCAUACGAUCUAAGGAUGAAAGCGGGGGAUCGCAAGACCUCGCGCGAUUGGAGCGGCCGAUAUCAGAUUAGGUAGUUGGUGGGGUAAAGGCCCACCAAGCCAAGGAUCUGUAGCUGGUCUGAGAGGACAACCAGCCACACUGGAACUGAGACACGGUCCAGACUCCUACGGGAGGCAGCAGUGGGGAAUUUUGGACAAUGGGCGAAAGCCUGAUCCAGCCAUUCCGCGUGCAGGAUGAAGGCCCUCGGGUUGUAAACUGCUUUUGUACAGAACGGAAAGGUUUCUACUAAUACUAGGAGCUCAUGACGGUACUGUAAGAAUAAGCACCGGCUAACUACGUGCCAGCAGCCGCAGUAA